UACGGAGGGUGCGAGCGUUGCUCGGAAUCAUUGGGCGUAAAGCGUACGCAGGCGGCUCAAUAAGUCGGGUGUGAAAGCCCAGGGCUCAACCCUGGAAAUGCGCCCGAAACUGUCGAGCUUGAGUGCGGGAGAGGGUAGUGGAAUUCCCGGUGUAGUGGUGAAAUGCGUAGAUAUCGGGAGGAACACCAGUGGCGAAGGCGACUACCUGGCCUGUUCUUGACGCUGAGGCGCGAAAGCUAGGGGAGCAAACGGG
rnacentral:rRNA from 1 species